AAUCAAAUAGACAACAUAGAUUGAGAUAAAGGUGGCUGCUCGCCUACCCUUAUGCGAUAUGGUCGAAAAGCUCAUGAUCCACCAUUCGCUAGAAUCAAAUAGACAACAUAAAUUGAGAUGAAGGUAGCUGCUCGCCUACCCUUAUGCGAGAUGGUCGAAAACCUCAUGAUCCAUCAUUCGCAUGGAAUCUAAUAGACAAUAUAAAUAAAGAUGAAGGUGGCUGCUCGCCUACCCUUAUGCGAAAUGAUUGAAACCUCAUGAUCGACCAUUCGCUCAGAAUCAAAUAUGGCGAACAAAUAAUGAUAAAGGCGGCUCUGAUGUUGAGUAGAUUAUCAUAAUUGGAGAUAGGUCAGGUACCUUGGGUACCCUGGAGUAAGAUGAUCUCUGCAUACCCUCUUGCAUCAUAAUAAAUAAUACUUUUACUAGUAGUAUGACUUUUCUUUAUUGGAUUGGUGGCCCAAAUCGAGACUGAAACCGAGUCUUCAACCGGGGUACCCCGUUUUUCAUCUUUGGGUAUUCGAGGAUCCAAAGGUGCCUCCAAUUCACAUUUGGGCUUAAUUCGUUCCCCGUGGGGUACUCCCGCAUAACUCUAGAGUAACUAGUUAUGGGGUACCCUACCACCGAGGCCUCGGUGGUGGCUCUUGCU
rnacentral:lncRNA from 1 species